UUCUCUUCUACAAACUUUUUAGCACCUUUAACUUUUUGCCAACAUGCCUUCAUUCUAGAGAUUAGACUUCACAACCGGAAGAUCACUGAUGUGGGAUCACCGCUUCGAUCUCCUUUCAAGAAUUUCUCGGCAAACCAACGGUUAAAGCAUUGGUCAUAUUCCCGUUUUAGUUCUCGACUUUCCUUGAAACACAUGGUCUGAUUGGCCAAACAACAUGGCUUGUUUUGAUGACGUUUUCAAGAAGCGACACAUCGUUAAAA